GUCAUACCACGCCUGGUGCCCGUCUGAGCUCCUGAUGCUCUGCGAGGGCAACAUCAGGGCCGCCAAGCUCGCCCUCGAGAAGGACGGCCUCGUCCUCCCCCGCUACUGUGACUCUGCCAAGGUCGUCAGCUACCAGCCUCCGCCGAUCGCCGGUCGCCAGCCACCGGACGCGUCCCACCACUAUUUACCAUUUCUCUUUAAAUAAAGUUGUAUCCAACAAAAAGUAUUCUAGGGGGAGAAAUCGCUGGACGCCUGUCGAUGUUGUAUAUUGGUAGGUUAGUCUUGUAGGAAAGGGAAUAAUUGUUAUUAUUGUACCGCGCAAAGAGUGUCGUGCCCAUACUCUAUUACGAGCUAUCAAGGUCUUAGAGAAGAGGAUAAAAAACAUCAUCCGCCUGUAUCGGAUGAUGAAGUCCGGUGGUUGAAGAAGAUUGCCAAAGAUGGGAAAAUCUCACUAAACUGAGUGAAGCUAGAAUAAGGGCUUCCUUAGCUAAUUUGUCUCAAAACUUCACCUAAUAGCUUAGAGAUUUUUUAGUUGCACAACAAGUUUUGUUUGGCCUAUUGAUCUUGGUAUUACUGCAAUUUCAUCCUCUACUCACUUUACAGCGUACAAGAAACACUAUCCACCAGCAUCUGACGAUGACAUCUGGAGAUUGGAAAGCAUCGCGAAGGAUGGAUCAUUUCACAAGAAGCUGGUUGAUACAGGAAUAUGUAAGGUGGAAGAGUUUUUACGACGACUCUCCAUGGACCCUGAGAAACUGAGAGAUAUUCUUGGCAUGACAGAGAAGAAGUGGAAAGCCCUCCUAGUUCAUGCAAAAACUUGCACUCCGAAUGGGAAACUCUACGUGUAUAAUGAAAAUGAUUGCGGUGUUAUAUUCAACAGCGUUGGUCAAGUCAGAGGCCUAACUACGGGCGGGAUGUAUUAUGCUGCUGACAUAU